rnacentral:rRNA from 1 species
GAUCAUGGCUCAGGACGAACGCUGGCGGCGCGCCUAACACAUGCAAGUCGGAACGAGAGAGAGGAAGCUUGCUUCCUCGAUCGAGUGGCGAACGGGUGAGUAACGCGUGAGGAACCUGCCUCAAAGAGGGGGACAACAGUUGGAAACGACUGCUAAUACCGCAUAAGCCCACGACCCGGCAUCGGGGAAGAGGGGAAAAGGAGCAAUCCGCUUUGAGAUGGCCUCGCGUCCGAUUAGCUAGUUGG